rnacentral:rRNA from 1 species
GAUGAACGCUAGCGGCAGGCUUAAUACAUGCAAGUCGAGGGGCAGCGGGAGUAGCAAUACUUGCCGGCGACCGGCGCACGGGUGCGUAACACGUAUGUAAUCUGCCCAUCACAGGAGGAUAGCCCGGAGAAAUUCGGAUUAAUACUCCAUAAUAGAAGAUAAAGCAUUUUAUUUUCUUGAAAGUUCCGACGGUGAUGGAUGAACAUGCGACUGAUUAGUUUGUUGGUGAGGUAACGGCUCACCAAGACUACGAUCAGUAGGGGUACUGAGAGGUUAAACCCCCACACUGGUACUGAGACACGGACCAGACUCCUACGGGAGGCAGCAGUAAGGAAUAUUGGACAAUGGGGGCAACCCUGAUCCAGCCAUGCCGCGUGUGUGAAGAAGGCCU